rfam:Dictyostelium lacteum strain TK GAOABQK02JBK0O, whole genome shotgun sequence.
GCUUUUAUGGCUCAGUCGGCAGAGCGAGCGGCUGUUAACCGCUAGGUCAGUGGUUCGAUCCCACUUAAAAGCG